rnacentral:misc_RNA from 1 species
CAACCUAAAACUUACACACCCUUAGAGGGACAAUCGAUGUUCAAAGUCUUCAAAGUCAUC